CAACUUUCAAAGAGGCUCUUGAUCCAGAGAGUAUGAGAAAUACAAAUUUGAAACAAUAGGCAUAUAUCAUAAGAAAAGAAAUUUGGGAGAAAACAUUUAAGAGUCAGAAAAAAAAAACUGGAAAAGAGAGAAAGUUCAGCCACAAAGUCUGAAGAAGAACUGCACUUCUGGUGAGCAUACCCAGGAAAUCUCUGCAUGAGAGUUAUCUUAAGAAAAUAUAUUUAAAAUACACUGAAGGCCCAACACAGUAGUCUCCUGGGGUCAUGUUUGGAAAUUCCACACAGUAUUAAAACCAGAUCUAGUCAGUCAACAACAACAACAAAGAAGGAAGAAUGUUGGAUUUUUUUUUUUUUGACCACGUAUCACUUUUUGAAUAUCCCCCUUGUGCCAGUCAUUAUGGCAAGAAAUUUAUAUUCAGAUAAACCCCAAGGAAAGUAAAAUGUUGACAAUCAAAUUGAAGAAUGAUCUAAUAUGGAUCAAAUAUCUUGUAUGUAGUAUCAUUCUACUGUCACUUUCUGCUAUCCACAGCUAAAGUUUAAUCUUUUUUUUCUUUUUGAUAAUUUUUGC
rnacentral:lncRNA from 1 species